AUUGCUUCGCUCCCCCAAGCAGCGGCCAAUGAAGCACUUUAUGAUUUAAGGCUUGUUAACCAGUACCUUGAAAUUCUGCAAGGCGAGUUUGCAUAGCAUAUCCUUGAAAUUACACUUGGAAGCUAUUACUUGGACAGUUACUUUAGAGGCAUUCUUGGAGGUCAUUACAGUUUUUGUCAAGAACAGUUUAAUUCUCUGCCAUUUUCCACUUUUGUUAUUAUUGUGGACCAUCGUGGGAGCAGGUUAAUUUGGUCCAAUUUCCUCAUCAUGUUCUGUCCCUCAUCUCAUGAAUGCAAACACGUGAAGGCUGGACUCUGCCGAAGAUUAAACUUGUGGUGACAAGUAAUUCUUGUGACAGAGGCUUUAAUGAGAAGAGAAAAAGACCUUAAAAUAUCUUCUUACACUUAAUAAGGAUAAUCUAAAAAGUUGUAUGGAACUCGUUGGAGGACAGCUCUGACUGGUCUGCUGGUCACACUGAGCCAGCCACACUGGGCUGGCCUUGGCCAUGGAGAUGCAGGAAGGUGACUCCAUGGGCAGGCAAUAUCAGAGCCCCUCUCUUUGAAAAGCACAGAAAGCUUCUCAGCAUUGAUCUAGGAGAAAGCCAGCUGGUGGCCCUGCUGUCUGGAGGCAGUGCUGUGUGUGAGGGGCUGAGUCCUGCCAUCUUGCCAUGCAGAAGCCUUGCUCUGUCCUGUCCUCUUCCCCAGCUUUCUGCUAGAGACAAUAUGGACACAGCAUCACCACCUCAGGCCAAAGUCUGUGAGAAAGAUGUGAGAAAUAAGCACACACUGAACCUGCCUCAGAUAAACCUUUCAAAAAACAAGUUUUUGGCAUCUGCUGGUUUAAAGGCUUUCAAGCCAGUGUUGGCAUCAGCACCCUAAGGUCUGGAUGCUCCCAGAAGCAAGAUCGUUUCCAUCAGGUGCUGUGACUACCUCGGGAAGCCAGGAACAGCUUUUAGAACAAACAAGACAAACAGUGAAGUAAAGAUCAAGGAUGCUUUAAAUGAAGUGUAACAUCCUCACGCUCCUACCUUUAAUGUGCUGGAAAAUAAGUGCAAAAAAAAAAAAAAAAAGAUAAAAGUGCAAUGAAUUUUGACUCUUUCAAUACUUGCUUAAAGGGACCAACGUUCUUGCUGGAAUUUCAGGAGGCAUUGCUGUGUGGAUCCUGCAGCACUAUCUGCAUUUCCUUUCUUCCCCUCUCGCGGUGUGAUGGUUGUAUUGCUGUGGUCAGCUGCAUUCCCUCUUUCUGAUAUCACUUUUCUUCCCCUGCAAAAGGAGCACUGAAUUCAAGAUCCGCAUUUGGAAAAACAAAUCAGUAAACAGCAAC
rnacentral:lncRNA from 7 species